GACGAACGCUGGCGGCGUGCUUAACACAUGCAAGUCGAGCGAUGAAGCACCUUCGGGUGUGAAUUAGCGGCGAACGGGUGAGGAACACGUGAGAAAUCUGCCUUCAACACUGGGAUAACUCCGGGAAACCGGGGCUAAUACCGGAUAUGAAACCUGCGGGCAUCCGCGGGUUUGGAAAGUUUUUCGGUUGAAGAUGAUCUCGCGGCCUAUCAGCUUGUUGGGGAGGUAAUGGCUCACCAAGGCGACGACGGGUAGCCGGCCUGAGAGGGCGACCGGCCACACUGGGACUGAGACACGGCCCAGACUCCUACGGGAGGCAGCAGUGGGGAAUAUUGGGCAAUGGAGGAAACUCUGACCCAGCGACGCCGCGGGCGGGAUGAAGGCCUUCGGGUUGUAAACCGCUUUCAGCAGGGAAGAAGCGAAAGUGACGGUACCUGCAGAAGAAGCACCGGCUAACUGUGUGCCAGCCGCCGCCGUAA
rnacentral:rRNA from 1 species